rnacentral:rRNA from 1 species
GACGAACGCUGGCGGCGUGCUUAACACAUGCAAGUCGAACGGAAAGGCCCUGCUUUUGUGGGGUGCUCGAGUGGCGAACGGGUGAGUAACACGUGAGUAACCUGCCCUUGACUUUGGGAUAACUUCAGGAAACUGGGGCUAAUACCGGAUAGGAGCUCCUGCUGCAUGGUGGGGGUUGGAAAGUUUCGGCGGUUGGGGAUGGACUCGCGGCUUAUCAGCUUGUUGGUGGGGUAGUGGCUUACCAAGGCUUUGACGGGUAGCCGGCCUGAGAGGGUGACCGGCCACAUUGGGACUGAGAUACGGCCCAGACCCCUACGGGAGGCAGCAGUGGGGAAUAUUGCACAAUGGGCGGAAGCCUGAUGCAGUAACGCCGCGUGCGGGAUGACGGCCUUCGGGUUGUAAACCGCUUUCGCCUGUGACGAAGCGUGAGUGACGGUAAUGGGUAAAGAAGCACCGGCUAACUACGUG